rnacentral:rRNA from 1 species
CUGUAGUGCAGAUCUUGGUGGUAGUAGCAAAUAUUCAUAUGAGACCUAUGAAGACUGAAGUGGAGAAAGGUUUCUUGUGAAGAGCAUUUCGACAAGAGUGAGUCGGUCCUAAGGCUUAGACGAAAGUCGAUUCAAUGAAAUAUUUUAUUGCUUUUUGUUUAUGUUAAUGAAAAGUUUCCGAAAUAUUCAAAGCCGAAAGGGAAUUAGGUUAAUAUUCCUAAACCGAGACGUGGAUACCAUGCGGUAACGCAAGCGAACCUGGCGACGUCGGCGGAAACCCGAGGGAGAGUUCUCUUUUCUUCUUAACAACCUUCAAUUAAAAGGACCAUGGAAUUGGGUUAACCAGCGAAAUGGUCAUAUGGUUGGCAAAGCAAUUUCACUUCGAGAUUGCCUCGUGCGUUUUCGACGGCCCUUGAAAAACCAGGGGAGAGAUUUAUUAGCACACUCGGCCGUACUCAUAACCGCAUCAGGUCUCCAAGGUGAGAAGCCUCUAG